rnacentral:rRNA from 1 species
AAUUUUUGCCAAUGGGCGCAACCCUGAUCCAGCCAUCCCGCGUGUGCGAUGAAGGCCUUCUGGAUGUAAAGCACUUUUGUCAGGGAGGAGAAGGUUCUGGCUAAUACCUGGAACCGAUGACGGUACCUGUGGAAUAAGCACCGGCUAACUACGUGCCAGCAACCGCGGUAAUACGUAGGGUGCAAGCGUUAAUCGGAAUUACUGGGCGUAAAGCGUGCGCAGGCGGUUCGGAAAGAAGGAUGUGAAAUCCCAGGGCUCAACCUUGGAACUGCAUUCUUAACUACCGGACUAGAGUAUGUCAGAGGGGGGUGGAAUUCCGCGUGUAGCAGUGAAAUGCGUAGAUAUGCGGAGGAAUACCGGUGGCGAAGGCAGCCCCCUGGGAUAAUACUGACGCUCAUGCACGAAAGCGUGGGUAGCAAACAGG